rnacentral:rRNA from 1 species
UUCUUGUUGGGUGAACCUGCGGAGGGAUCAUUACCGAGUUUACAACUCCCAAACCCAAUGUGAACGUUACCAAACUGUUGCCUCGGCGGGAUCUCUGCCCCGGGUGCGUCGCAGCCCCGGACCAAGGCGCCCGCCGGAGGACCAACCAAAACUCUUAUUGUAUACCCCCUCGCGGGUUUUUUUAUAAUCUGAGCCUUCUCGGCGCCUCUCGUAGGCGUUUCGAAAAUGAAUCAAAACUUUCAACAACGGAUCUCUUGGUUCUGGCAUCGAUGAAGAACGCAGCGAAAUGCGAUAAGUAAUGUGAAUUGCAGAAUUCAGUGAAUCAUCGAAUCUUUGAACGCACAUUGCGCCCGCCAGUAUUCUGGCGGGCAUGCCUGUCCGAGCGUCAUUUCAACCCUCGAACCCCUCCGGGGGGUCGGCGUUGGGGAUCGGCCCUGCCUUGGCGGUGGCCGUCUCCGAAAUACAGUGGCGGUCUCGCCGCAGCCUCUCCUGCGCAGUAGUUUGCACACUCGCAUCGGGAGCGCGGCGCGUCCACAGCCGUUAAACACCCAACUUCUGAAAUGUUGACCUCGGAUCAGGUAGGAAUACCCGCUGAACUUAAGCAUAUCAAUAAGCGGGAAGGAA